GGUUGUGUCCCGGCUCUUCUCCGCUGAGCGCUCAGGGUUUUGGCUCGGCGUGUGUGGGCAGCGCAGGUUCUGGUCCUUCUCCGCAGAGCCCUCAGGGUUUUGGCUUGGAACACGGGGGAGGUCAGCUCAGCUGGAUUGCACCUCUUUAAAGGAAGAUGGACUGAACUGUUAAACCAGAAUGCUAGUGAUGGGUUGCGCUCCACCCCCCUGCAGCUGCUGCGGUCCGAUUAUCCUCAGCAGCCCGUGUUUUUGUAAUGUUUUAUUUUCUGUCAUUAAACAUUUUGGAUCUUCCCACUGUC